CCUACGGGAGGCAGCAGUGGGGAAUAUUGGGCAAUGGGCGCAAGCCUGACCCAGCAACGCCGCGUGAAGGAAGAAGGCCUUCGGGUUGUAAACUUCUUUUCUGAGGGACGAAGAAAGUGACGGUACCUCAGGUAUAAGCCACGGCUAACGACGUGCCAGCAGCCGCGGUAAUACGGGGGUGGCAAACGUUAUCCGGAUUCAUUGGGUGUAAAGGGCGUGUAGGCGGGAAAGCAAGUCAGAUGUGAAAACUCAGGGCUCCAACCUGAGCGUGCCGUUGAAACUGGUUUUCUUGAGUGCUGGAGAGGCAAUCGGAAUGCGGGGUGUAGCGGUGAAAUGCGUAGAUAUAAGGAAGAACACCGGUGGCGAAGGCGGAUUGCUGGAGAGUAACUGACGCUGAGGCGCGAAAGCGUGGGGAGCAAACAGGAUUAGAUACCCUUGUAGUC
rnacentral:rRNA from 1 species